CUACGUAGGUGGCAAGCGUUGUCCGGAUUUACUGGGUGUAAAGGGCGUGUAGGCGGGGAUGCAAGUCAGAUGUGAAAUUCCGGGGCUCAACCCCGGCGCUGCAUCUGAAACUGUAUCUCUUGAGUGCUGGAGAGGAAAGCGGCAUUCCUAGUGUAGCGGUGAAAUGCGUAGAUAUUAGGAGGAACACCAGUGGCGAAGGCGGCUUUCUGGACAGUAACUGACGCUGAGGCGCGAAAGCGUGGGGAGCGAACAGGAUUAGAUACCCUGGUAGUCCACGCCGUAAACGAUGGAUACUAGGUGUAGGAGGUAUCGACCCCUUCUGUGCCGGAGUUAACACAAUAAGUAUCCCACCUGGGGAGUACGGCCGCAAGGUUGAAACUCAAAUGAAUUGACGGGG
rnacentral:rRNA from 1 species